rnacentral:rRNA from 1 species
UACGUAGGGUGCGAGCGUUGUCCGGAAUUAUUGGGCGUAAAGAGCUCGUAGGCGGCUUGUCGCGUCGGAUGUGAAAGCCCGGGGCUUAACUCCGGGUCUGCAUUCGAUACGGGCAGGCUAGAGUUCGGUAGGGGAGAUCGGAAUUCCUGGUGUAGCGGUGAAAUGCGCAGAUAUCAGGAGGAACACCGGUGGCGAAGGCGGGUCUCUGGGCCGAUACUGACGCUGAGGAGCGAAGGCGUGGGGAGCAAACAGG